rnacentral:rRNA from 1 species
AAAGUCUUUGAAUGUUAUUACCAUCAUCGAGUCGCGACUUCUAGGAGACGCGAUUCUUUGAGACAAAAGUUAUUACAACUUUCAGCAACGGAUCUCUUGGCUCUCGCAUCGAUGAAGAACGCAGCGAAUCGCGAUAUGUAAUGUGAAUUGCAGAUCUACAGUGAAUCAUCGAAUCUUUGAACGCACCUUGCGCUCCUCGGUGUUCCGAGGAGCAUGCCUGUUUGAGUGUCAGUAAAUUCUCAACCCCUCUCGAUUUGCUUCGANAGGGNGCUUGGAUGUUGGGGGCUGCCGGAGACACUGGACUCGUCCAGGACUCGGGCUCCUCUUAAAUGAAUCGGCUUGCGGUCGACUUUCGACUUUGCAUGACAAGGCCUUUGGCGUGAUAAUGAUCGCCGUUCGCCGAAGUGCAAGACNGAACGGUCCCGUGCCUCUAAUGCGUCGACGCCUCUCGGGGCCGUCUUCCUCAUUGACGUUUGACCUCAAAUCAGGUAGGACUACCCGCUGAACUUAAGCAUAUCAAUAA